rnacentral:rRNA from 1 species
CUGGCUCAGGAUGAACGCUAGCGGCAGGCUAACACAUGCAAGUCGAGGGGCAGCGGGUGUAGCAAUACAUGCCGGCGACCGGCGAAAGGGUGAGUAACGCGUGAGCAACGUACCCGGUAGUGGGGUAUAGUCAUUGGAAACGAUGCGUAAUACCCCGUAACAACUUGGAUCGCAUGGUCCGAGUUUAAAAGAUUUAUUGCUAUCGGAUCGGCUCGCGUACCAUUAGGUAGACGGCGGGGUAACGGCCCACCGUGCCGACGAUGGUUAGGGGUUCUGAGAGGAAGGUCCCCCACAUUGGAACUGAGACACGGUCCAGACUCCUACGGGAGGCAGCAGUGAGGAAUAUUGGUCAAUGGCCGGAAGGCUGAACCAGCCAUGCCGCGUGCGGGGAAAAGACGGCCCUAUGGGUUGUAAACCGCUUUUGUCGGGGAGCAAUAAGGCGUACGUGUACGCUGAUGAGAGUACCUGGCGAAUAAGCAUCGGCUAACUCCGUGCCAGCAGCUGC